rfam:Ancylostoma ceylanicum strain HY135 Acey_s0143_scaf, whole genome shotgun sequence.
CCAACGGCCCUCUUUAGGGCCACAAUCGAAUAGUUCGAAUACAUGU